AACAGAAAUUGGUUGGCCUUCCCUUUACGGACAACCUUUGGAGACCUUUUGCUUGUCCCAUUUUCUUCAACCCAAAGUUUGAUGACAAACCAAACGGAGCCACAAAGGCGACGACACCCCUUGGUUUCACCAAAUUCAACUGAAUCACGAUUGAUCAAGCAAUCUAAAACAUUUUUAGAGACGACACUCCCCAGCUGAUUAGCUAGCAGGACAUCACAGUCCCUAAACCCCAAAUUACGGACGAUCGUAACCGUCAAACAACCGAAAAACGUGAUUUGUUUUAGUCGGUUAGCAACCGUCAACAGCAACAGACAGAGGAUGGCCCGUCAACUGUCAUGUCGCCUCUCAAUUCAUCCAUCCAUCCAAUUUUUACCCAUCUUUUCCCCCCCCACAUACUAAGCCAACCUAAGCUCUCGAGCCGCCUUCUAGGAGGCCCUUCGCGAUGAUCAUACCGUACAAAAUGCCAUGCCUUUAAGAAAAUAAACGCAUCAUAUCACACGCCUUCUAGGAGGCCCUUCGCGAUGAUCAUACCGUACAAAAUGCCAUGCCUUUAAGAAAAUAAACGCAUCAUAUCACACGCCGUGCCGCCUCCACCUCCAAACUUCGUACCGUACGGCUACUGCGUCUACGUCUUUGCCACUGCCGGACUGCAGGCUGCAUCUACGGUGGUGACACCACCGCUGGCGCCUUACGGCGCCGGCGGCGGCUGCGCUUCCGCUUCCGGCGCUGACGGCGAAAGCAGCAGCGCCCUCAGCGGUAGGCUGCUUACGCUCACAUUCACGGGGGUGGACGCGAGCGGGUGGUGCUGGUGGGUUGCUGCCCCACGCAC
rnacentral:lncRNA from 1 species